rnacentral:rRNA from 1 species
AACGAACGCUGGCGGCAGGCUUAACACAUGCAAGUCGAACGCCCCGCAAGGGGAGCGGCAGACGGGUGAGUAACGCGUGGGAAUCUACCCAGUUCUACGGAACAACGGUUGGAAACGACUGCUAAUACCGUAUACGCCCUACGGGGGAAAGAUUUAUCGGAAUUGGAUGAGCCCGCGUAAGAUUAGCUAGUUGGUGGGGUAAUGGCCUACCAAGGCGACGAUCUUUAGCUGGUCUGAGAGGAUGAUCAGCCACACUGGGACUGAGACACGGCCCAGACUCCUACGGGAGGCAGCAGUGGGGAAUAUUGGACAAUGGGCGCAAGCCUGAUCCAGCCAUGCCGCGUGAGUGAUGAAGGCCUUAGGGUUGUAAAGCUCUUUCACCGAUGAAGAUAAUGACGGUAGUCGGAGAAGAAGCCCCGGCUAACUUCGUGCCAGCCGCCGCAGUAACAC